rnacentral:rRNA from 1 species
UACGUAGGUCUCGAGCGUUAUCCGGAUUUAUUGGGCGUAAAGCGAGCGCAGGCGGUUAUAUAAGUCUGAAGUGAAAGGCCGUGGCGUAACCAUAGUAUGCUUUGGAAACUGUUUAACUUGAGUGCAGAAGGGGAGAGUGGAAUUCCAUGUGUAGCGGUGAAAUGCGUAGAUAUAUGGAGGAACACCAGUGGCGAAAGCGGCUCUCUGGUCUGUAACUGACGCUGAGGCUCGAAAGCGUGGGGAGCAAACAGG